rnacentral:lncRNA from 1 species
CGGGUCCGGCUGCCCGGCGCGGCUGCCGGGGCGCUCAGCCCUUCCUUCCCUCUCGCUGCCUCGGCGCUGGAGGCUCCGGACUAUAAAUAGCAGGUUGUCCAGCCGCCGAGCGACACACGCACGCACCGGGAGGAAAGUGCCGUGCAGGUCGCCCCGCCGGGCGAGCGCCCGGCCCCGAGCCAGUUGAUCUUCAUAUCCGCUGCUUAGAUUUUGCUCAGCUUCAACACACUAAUUAGCAUCAUUGUUGUCCUCCUCCAUCUCUUACUCGUCCUCAUCCUCUUCCCUGGCAAUCCAAUGAGAUUCAAUGCUAAAGAUCUGGCUUUGCUGGCCAGGCGACCAGCAGGUUGUUUUGACAAGGAAGGAAAACUGAAGAUUUGCAGACUGGUUGGAGAUGAAAAGUUAAUAGAACCGAGAGAGAGAUGGUGCCGACUGAAAGGAAAUCUGCUUUUUCUAAUGAAAAAUAAGAAUCCUGGAGGUGGACAAACACUAACAUCAGCAGGUUAACAUACUACACUAAGUUGCAACUGCUUUUAUAAUCCAUGAAUCUGCACAGAAG